UACGUAGGGUGCAAGCGUUAGUCGGAAUUACUGGGCGUAAAGCGCACGUAGGCGGAUUUGUAAGUCAGGGGUGAAAUCCCGGGGCUCAACCUCGGAACUGCCUUUGAUACUGCAAAUCUCGAGUCCGGAAGAGGUGAGUGGAAUUCCUAGUGUAGAGGUGAAAUUCGUAGAUAUUAGGAAGAACACCAGUGGCGAAGGCGGCUCACUGGUCCGGUACUGACGCUGAGGUGCGAAAGCGUGGGGAGCAAACAGG
rnacentral:rRNA from 1 species